GACGAACGCUGGCGGCGUGCCUAAUACAUGCAAGUUGAGCGAUGAAGAUUGGUGCUUGCACCAAUUUGAAGAGCAGCGAACGGGUGAGUAACGCGUGGGGAAUCUGCCUUUGAGCGGGGGACAACAUUUGGAAACGAAUGCUAAUACCGCAUAACAACUUUAAACAUAAGUUUUAAGUUUGAAAGAUGCAAUUGCAUCACUCAAAGAUGGUCCCGCGUUGUAUUAGCUAGUUGGUGAGGUAAAGGCUCACCAAGGCGAUGAUACAUAGCCGACCUGAGAGGGUGAUCGGCCACAGUGGGACUGAGACACGGCCCAAACUCCUACGGGAGGCAGCAGUAGGGAAUCUUCGGCAAUGGACGAAAGUCUGACCGAGCAACGCCGCGUGAGUGAAGAAGGUUUUCGGAUCGUAAAACUCUGUUGGUAGAGAAGAACGUUGGUGAGAGUGGAAAGCUCAUCAAGUGACGGUAACUACCCAGAAAGGGACGGCUAACUACGUG
rnacentral:rRNA from 1 species